AACGAACGCUGGCGGCAUGCCUAACACAUGCAAGUCGAACGAAGUCUUCGGACUUAGUGGCGCACGGGUGCGUAACGCGUGGGAAUCUGCCCUUGGGUACGGAAUAACUCAGAGAAAUUUGUGCUAAUACCGUAUAAUGUCUUCGGACCAAAGAUUUAUCGCCCAAGGAUGAGCCCGCGUAAGAUUAGCUAGUUGGUGGGGUAAAAGCCUACCAAGGCGACGAUCUUUAGCUGGUCUGAGAGGAUGACCAGCCACACUGGGACUGAGACACGGCCCAGACUCGUACGGGAGGGAGGAGUGGGGAAUAUUAGACGAUGGACGAAAGCGUGAUCCAGCCGUGCCGGGUAAGUGGUGAAGGCCCUAGUAUUGUAAAGCUCUUUUACAAGGGAUGAUAGUGACAGUACCUGGAGAAUAAGCACCGGCUAACUACGUG
rnacentral:rRNA from 1 species